GUCCGAGCGCCACUAGCGCCGGAGGGAGACGUACCUGGACCUCGUCGUCCUUGCGGAUGGGCAUGGAGCGGACAUUGUACUUCUGCCGCAGCUCCUUGGAGAGCGGGGAUGACAUGAUCUUCCUGCGCACGUGUGAGGGGGCAUUGAAGUGACGUUUGCGGUUUUUACUGCGGUCCGAGGUAACGAAGGGAUUGAACUUCAUGGUGACCCUCUACAAAGGGCGGAGAGAGACGGAAUGAAGGGGCGCUCAGUGGGUUACAGGGGCCUGUUCUCGACCCAAGACACUCCUCAUCCCCCAACAAAGGCUCUACAGGGGAGGUAGCCUCUGAAAAGGCAACUGAGGGAGGACAGAGAGAUGCGACUAGUCUGACUAUCACAUAAAGUGAGGCGUGUGUGGAGGUCGCAUGCCCGUCUAAAGGGGUCGUGGGGGAGAGGGUAGCACUGGGACCUUGAGGCUGAGGAAGGAAUGCUAGGGUUAGGCAGGAAUGGGUGGUCGGGAGGUCACUCAAAGAGAGCUGUGGGGUGACAUGUGUUCCCGCGACACAUAGGGCAGGGUCUCACGGGGCGGUAGAGUUCACUGUCCGAGAAAACUCCAGCCUCCACUCACCCGGCUACUAGCUGCCUCAGACCCUGAGUGCGCAGGGCCGGAAGUGAGUUUCCGUGCCGCGCAAGCGCAGAAAGACAUCGAAGCCCCAUUUCCGUAGGAGCGAAGUCGAAUGGCGCCCCCAGCGGCUUGGGGUGGGAUCUCAGUGCCUCAUUCCUGGCGGCCCCGGGAGGGCGAUGCCAGUGAGUACAAGGGCCUGCUUGUGUAGGGCCUGCGGUAGAGGCUUACUGGUGUUCUUUUUUUUUUUUUUGAGACGGAGUCUCGCUCUGUCGCCCAGACUGGAGUGCAGUGGCGCGAGCUCGGCUCACUGCAAGCUCCGCCUCCCGGGUUCACGCCAUUCUCCUGCCUCAGCCUCCCGAGUAGCUGGGACUACAGGCGCCCCCCACCACGCCCGGCUAAUUUUUUGUAUUUUUAGUAGAGACGGGGUUUCACCCUGUUAGCCAGGAUGGUCUCGAUUUCCUGACCUCGUGAUCCGCCCGCCUCGGCCUUCCAAAGUGCUGGGAUUACAGGCGUGAGCCGCCGCGCCCUCCUACCUCUACUUUUUUCUAUCUCUGGGACUAAACGGCGGCCGGCGGCGUGCCUGCGGGUUUGUGGCCGCCGCCCCGCCCCUCUCUCCUAGACCCCGCCCCUCUCAUCCAGUCCCCGCCCACUCCGGCCGCUCCGCGCCCACCUGUGGCCCUCUUGGCCCUUCUGCCCGUGCCUGGCCCCGCCGGGUCGCUCCCGAGCUCCGCGUUUCGUUCGCCGACCCCUGGAAGACUGCCUGGAGGCCCGGGCGCCACCCAACCACUGGCUAGGCCGACACUUUGCGCGGACCCUGGGUGUAAAAGGUCCCCGGGUCUCUGGUCCCGACGGAGCUGUGAGGGAGAUCAACCACGCCCCCUCCGUGGGCACCGUGGCGGCAGGGAAGGAAAAGGGCUCUGGGUCUCGACUCUCUUCGGGUUAAGAACCGACGGGGUUUAUUCUAUGCAAGGUGUUAUUAACUCCAACUCUCCCUUUCGUUCAUUCAUUCCAUAUAUGUUGAACGACAACUUAGUGCCAAAUGCCGGCAUGCUGAAACUCAGAGAGGGAAGAUGUCUUGCAAGUACAGCAGCCACACCCAGAGUUUCGCUCUUGUUCCCUGGGCUGCAGUGCAGUGGCACCAUCUCGGCUCACCGCAACCUCCGCCUCCCAAGUUCAAGCGAUUCUCCUGCCUCAGCCUCCCCAGUAUCUGGGAUUACAGUAAAAUUAAAACAGGCACAAUGAUAUCCUGGAUGACAAGAGCUGGAGGCUGUCAUUCUAACAAUGUAGUGAGACUGGCUGUCUUGUCUCAUGCCCACCCCUGGAAACAUGCGCAGGAACUCAAAGCACCUAGCACAGAGGAAGUGUCUGGUUGUUUUAAAGGAAAAACAAAACCAAAAAAAGCACCUCCUGCUCUGACCACCCCUAUUUCCAGUUUUCCCUUUUGGCACAGCAAAGAUGACCUUGGGACUGAGGUGGAACCAUGUAAUUCUUCGUAAUCCCAGAGUCAGGCAGACCUGGGUAUGAAUUCCAUCUUUACUAACUGUGUGACUCACUGUGUGGCCAUGCCAAGUUACGAGGUCUCUCUGUUUCCUCCUUCCUAAAAAGGAGAUAACAUCCAUCUCGAAGGAAGAUCUGGCCUGAAGAGCAGUCACUCUUGCCUGGCAUGCAGAGAAUGCCAAAUCAUAUUAAUGACUGGCCAGAAUGAAGUGCGUGACCUCAUCACUCCAUAACUGACAGGAAACAACUGCUAGGGCAAGAAAAAAGGGUCUCCAGUGAGUAUUCUUGUCCACACACAUCCCCACUCACGUUCCUGGACCACUGCAUCUAACUGCCGCAGCAGCUAAUGAACCUUCUGGAAUAAAGGACCAGUUUCUUAAGAAGGGAUUGAGACCUCCAGUGGCCUCCCACAUUGUUUCCGGCAAGAAUUUAAAAAUUAUUUGUAACAUAUAGUAAUAAAAACUAACCACAGGCUGGGCGCAGUGGCUCACGCCUGUAAUCCCAGCACUUUGGGAGGCUGAGGCAGGUGGAUCACCUGAGGUCAGGAGUUCGAGACCAGCCUGACCAAUAUGGUGAAACCCUGUUUCUCCUAAAAAUACAAAAAUUAGCUGGGCAUGGUGGUGGGCGCCUGUAAUCUCAGCUACUCAGGAGGCUGAAACAGGAGAACUGCUUGAAUCUGGGAGGUAGAUGUUGCAGUGAGCCGAUAUCGCGCCAUUGCACUCCAGCCUGGGCAAUGACUCCGUCUCAAAAAAAAAAAAAAAAAAAAAAAACUAACCACAGCUACUAUUUAUGAACUCUAGUGCCACACCCCAUUUCUUCCCAGGUUUCACCCCCUCUUCCCAGGUUUCACCCACCCCAACCAGUGUUGUUUGCAACACUUCAGCUUCUCUCCUCACGAAGCACGUCUCCAGAGACGCCUCUUCCGCAACUUCCCAGGGAAGCCAUUUCUGCCUGGACCCACCACAGCUCCCAACCUGUCACGCACCCCUGGAGGGUUUUGCUCUGUAAUCCUGAUUUAGAAAUCCUCUUAUAUGAAACCACUGUAAUCCACAUCUGGUUAGACAAUUGGAAAAGUUCAUUGAAAGGAGAAAUAAUAAAAAUGGCAUCCAUCCCUUAAAUGUUGUAUGCCAACGUAAAACACAUUCGACAAUGACCCUGGGCUAAGGCUCUACCUUACAGAGAAACCUGUAUCGGUGUUCCCCUCCAUUUUCCUUACAUAAACCAACCAAAAAUCUUCAGUUGUUCCGUUCUCUGUCUCUCUCCCUCUCCACACCCACCUUCCCUCUUCCUCUCUCCCUCCCUCCCUCUCUCUUUCUCUCUUUUUUGAGACAGAGUUUCACUCUGUCACCCAGGCUGGAGUGCAGCGGCUAGAUCUUGGUUCACUGCAGCCUCCACCACUCCCCCCACUUCCCCCCCGCCGCCCCUGCCCCCACCGCAGCCUCCCAGGUGGCUGGGACUACAGGCCACCACGCCCACUAAUUUUUGUAUUUUUUCUAUAGAGACGGGGUUUCAUCAUGUUGCCCAGACUGGUCUCAAACUCUUGGGCUCAAGCAAUCCUCUCACCUCAGCCUCCCGGUGCUGGGAUUAUAGGCGUGAACCAUCGCGUCCGGCCUCCCAAAUCUUUUACAGUUGUCUUGUUCACUUCUCAUUCAGCAGCAUUUUGAGUUGGGAGGGGUAACAACUCACCUUAAUCAAGUCUCUCUAAAGCAUUCAACUUAGUUUUACUAGGUUCAUUUCUUGUAGCUCAUUGGUUUAACUAAUAGUUCCCCAAAUCACAUCCUACCAGUAUAAAAGCACAACUGGUAUAAACACGUUUGGGAACACACAUAACUCAAGUAUCAGGAUGUAAGAGCGAGAGCAUGGGGAGAGUUAAGAAUUUCUCACAGACUGAUUCCCUCCCACAUUCAUCCCUGGUGUGUUUAUCCGUGUUAGGGCUGUUCUGAUGAAAGUCUUGUAGGACUUGGCAGCAAGAUGGGAAAGAUCCAUGGAAGUCCAUUGCUCAUAGCUGAUGAUGAUCUCUCAUUGCUGAGCUUAGGGUUGAAAAAGGAGUGCCAGGUCCUUUGAAAUCAAGAAGAAUUUAUGAAUCACCUUUCAUUUAUGGAGCCCUUAGCUCAAAGCUCUAAAGUUAGUCUUUUCUCAAGAUUAUAUCCUAUUUGGGAAUGCUCAUAAUGGUCCAAUCACCAUUUGUGAAAACUUACUGUGUACCAGCAAUAAACACUCUUCUACAUAGACAAUCUCAUUCUAAUAUAAUUUCUGUGCACGUUAUAGAUUCUAUUUCUGAAACAGCCCUAUGUGGUAGUUUUAUUACUAUCCUCAUUUUCACCCAACAAAUCUGAGGCACUGAGAGGUUAAGGACCUGGACUGAAGCUGCACAGCUAGAAGGUGACAGACCCAAGAACAUUCUGUAGGGACUCAAUAAAG
rnacentral:lncRNA from 1 species